CCUANGGGUGGCUGCAGUCGAGAAUAUUCGUCAAUGCCCGAAAGGGUGAACGAGCGACGCCGCGUGCAGGAUGAAGGACUUCGGGUUGUAAACUGCUUUUGCGAGGGAAAAAUUUGUGAUUGUACCUCGCGAAUAAGAGGUUACUAACUCUGUGCCAGCAGUAGCGGUAAUACAGAGACCUCAAGCGUUAUCCGGAUUUAUUGGGCGUAAAGAGCAUGUAGGCGGAUAUGUUAGUCAGACGUCAAAUCCUCGAGCUUAACUCGAGAACUGCGUUUGAAACGGCAUAUCUGGAGUCAGUGAGAGACCAGUGGAACAUAUGGUGUAGCAGUGAAAUGCGUUGAUAUCAUAUGGAACACCAAAGGCGAAGGCAUCUGGUUGGCACUGUACUGACGCUGAGAUGCGAAAGCGUGGGUAGCGAAUGGGAUUAGAUACCCCGNUANUC
rnacentral:rRNA from 1 species